rnacentral:misc_RNA from 1 species
UACGAAAGGUGCAAGCGUUAAUCGGAAUUACUGGGCGUAAAGGGCGCGUAGGCGGCGCGUUCAGUCGGCUGUGAAAGCCCCGGGCUCAACCUGGGGAUUGCAUCCGAUACUGACGCGCUGGAGUGCAGUAGAGGGAGGUAGAAUUCCAGGUGUAGCGGUGAAAUGCGUAGAGAUCUGGAGGAAUACCAGUGGCGAAGGCGGCCUCCUGGACUGACACUGACGCUGAGGCGCGAAAGCGUGGGUAGCAAACAGG